rnacentral:rRNA from 1 species
CCUACGGGAGGCAGCAGUGGGGAAUAUUGGACAAUGGGCGAAAGCCUGAUCCAGCAAUGCCGCGUGAGUGAUGAAGGCCUUAGGGUUGUAAAGCUCUUUUACCAGGGAUGAUAAUGACAGUACCUGGAGAAUAAGCUCCGGCUAACUCCGUGCCGGCAGCCGCGGUAAUACGGAGGGAGCUAGCGUUGUUCGGAAUUACUGGGCGUAAAGCGUACGUAGGCGGUUAUUCAAGUCAGAGGUGAAAGCCUGGAGCUCAACUCCAGAACUGCCUUUGAAACUAGAUAGCUAGAAUCUUGGAGAGGUGAGUGGAAUUCCGAGUGUAGAGGUGAAAUUCGUAGAUAUUCGGAAGAACACCAGUGGCGAAGGCGACUCACUGGACAAGUAUUGACGCUGAGGUACGAAAGCGUGGGGAGCAAACAGGAUUAGGAUACCCUGGUAGUCCACGCCGUAAACGAUGAUAACUAGCUGUUCGGGCUCUACGGAGUCGUGUAGUGCGCGNGCGUACGACUAUUAAGUUACGUCCGUCCGUCGGGAGGUACGGUCG